CCGCCUGCCCUGUGACAGCAGUGUUUAACGGCCGCGGUAUUUUAACCGCGCGAAGGUAGCGUAAUCACUUGUCUUUUAAAUGGAGACCUGUAUGAAUGGCAUAACGAGGGUUUAACUGUCUCCUCCCCCCAGUCAAUGAAAUUGAUCUGCCCGUGCAGAAGCGGGCAUGUGAACAUAAGACGAGAAGACCCUAUGGAGCUUCAAGCAAAUGAUCAAGCGCAAAAAGCCCUACUCCUAGUCAGUGUACGGGAAGGUAAAAGCCAAUGAUCAAAGUGCUUUCGGUUGGGGCGACCAUGGAGGAAAGAAAAGCCUCCACGUGGAAGGGGAAAAACCUUAAACUAAGAAAAACAGCUCUAAGUAACAGAAAUUCUGACCAAAAGUGACCCGAGCUUAGGCCCGAUCAACGAACCGAGUUACCCUAGGGAUAACAGCGCAAUCCUCUCCCAGAGUCCAUAUCGACGAGGGGGUUUACGACCUCGAUGUUGGAUCAGGACAUCCUAUUGGUGCAGCCGCUAUUAAGGGUUCG
rnacentral:rRNA from 1 species